rnacentral:tRNA from 1 species
GGUCCUGUAGUGUAGUGGUUUAUCACUUGGGAUUUUGAACAUGUCCGCCGGGCGGCCCCUCAACCCGGCCGACUGGUGGAUGUGGAUCUUCCCAUAACCCAGGUUCGAACCCUGGCAGGACCU